AUUGAACGCUGGCGGCAGGCCUAACACAUGCCAGUCGAACGGUAACAGGAAGAAGCUUGCUUCUUUGCUGACGAGUGGCGGACGGGUGAGUAAUGUCUGGGAAACUGCCUGAUGGAGGGGGAUAACUACUGGAAACGGUAGCUAAUACCGCAUAACGUCGCAAGACCAAAGAGGGGGACCUUCGGGCCUCUUGCCAUCGGAUGUGCCCAGAUGGGAUUAGCUAGUAGGUGGGGUAACGGCUCACCUAGGCGACGAUCCCUAGCUGGUCUGCGAGGAUGACCAGCCACACUGGAACUGAGACACGGUCCAGACUCCUACGGGAGGCAGCAGUGGGGAAUAUUGCACAAUGGGCGCAAGCCUGAUGCAGCCAUGCCGCGUGUAUGAAGAAGGCCUUCGGGUUGUAAAGUACUUUCAGCGGGGAGGAAGGGAGUAAAGUUAAUACCUUUGCUCAUUGACGUUACCCGCAGAAGAAGCACCGGCUAACUCCGUG
rnacentral:rRNA from 1 species